rnacentral:tRNA from 1 species
GGGCCGGUGGUCUAGCUUGGAAAAAGACGCGGGCCUCCGGAGCCCGAGAUCACGGGUUCGAAUCCCGUCCGGCCCG